GAUGAACGCUGGCGGCGUGCCUAACACAUGCAAGUCGAACGAAGCGUCCCGCCCGAAGAGAAGGAGUGCUUGCACAAAUUUAAUUCAAUUGGGAUGACUUAGUGGCGGACGGGUGAGUAACGCGUGGGUAACCUGCCUUAUACAGGGGGAUAACAGUUAGAAAUGACUGCUAAUACCGCAUAAGCGCACAGUAUCGCAUGGUACAGUGUGAAAAGCCCAGACGGUAUAAGAUGGACCCGCGUCUGAUUAGCCAGUUGGCAGGGUAACGGCCUACCAAAGCGACGAUCAGUAGCCGGCCUGAGAGGGUGAACGGCCACAUUGGGACUGAGACACGGCCCAAACUCC
rnacentral:rRNA from 1 species